rnacentral:rRNA from 1 species
GAAUCAGGUGUCCAGGUGGUGGCAUGGUUGUCGUCAGCUCGUGUCGUGAGAUGUUGGGUUAAGUCCCGCAACGAGCGCAACCCUUGUCAUUAGUUGCUACGAAAGGGCACUCUAAUGAAACUGCCCGGUGACAAACCGGAGGAAGUGGGAUGACGUCAAGUCCUCAUGGCCCUUAUGGGUAGGGCUUCACACGUCAUACAAUGGUCGGUACAGAGGGCUGCCAACCCGUAAGGGGGAGCCAAUCCUUUAAAACCGAUCGUAGUCCGGAUUGAGGUCUGCAACUCGACCUCAUGAAGUCGGAAUCGCUAGUAAUCGCGGAUCAGCAUGUCGCGGUGAAUACGUUCCCGGGUCUU